AUGCUUAUCUUCUCAGGAUUAGCAUGUGAUUAUGUAGUAAAAGGAGGAGCUAGAGCCAAUGGGGCAAGGAUCCCAGAACACUGGUGCCACAAGAUGAUUCGUUUAAACAAAUUUAUGCUUCUUCCCCCUACUAUGUAACUUUUUAAUACUACAUGGUUUACCAAUUUUCUGUCUUAUGAGCAAUGCAAAUUAAACAAAAAAUAAUUAUGAGCAAUGGCAAUGCUAUAUAUAUUGCUAGGAUUU